AUUGGUCUUUAUCUAUGACUCAGCGGCGCUGGACGUGAAAGAGAGCAUGCAAGCCGCCAUUUUCUCAGCAUCUUCAGAUGGAAGCGAGUGAAAGACGGUUUAUGAACUCAAACCAACUUUGGAGUUGUCUGAUUUGGAGAGUCAUCAUUCUUGGUCUUCCUUUCUUAAAGGAAUAGUUCACACAAAAAAAUCAUUUGCUGAUGGGUCUUCAUCAUGACUACAUCAGUUAUGCUGAAGAGAUCAUGAACACUGGCAGUGAUGCAUGAUCUGUAUUCAUGGACUAUGAAACAAACUUGAGUGUGUGUGUGUGUUCACCUGCGCAGCCCAGCAGGUCGCAGACGCUGAUGAUGAAGAGGAUCCGGAGCGAGGAGGCUGGUUUGUGUGGAGGAGCGUGUCUGAAGGGCCGGUGUUUGGGCAGCAGCUGGAGGCCGGUGAGAGCGAGGCUCAGA